GACGAACGCUGGCGGCGUGCUUAACACAUGCAAGUCGAACGGAAAGGCCCUGCUUUUGUGGGGUGCUCGAGUGGCGAACGGGUGAGUAACACGUGAGUAACCUGCCCUUGACUUUGGGAUAACUUCAGGAAACUGGGGCUAAUACCGGAUAGGAGCUCCUGCUGCAUGGUGGGGGUUGGAAAGUUUCGGCGGUUGGGGAUGGACUCGCGGCUUAUCAGCUUGUUGGUGGGGUAGUGGCUUACCAAGGCUUUGACGGGUAGCCGGCCUGAGAGGGUGACCGGCCACAUGGGGACUGAGAUACGGACCAGACGCCUACGGGAGGCAGCAGUGGGAAAUAUUGCACAGUGAGCGGAAGCCUGAUGCAGCAACGCCGCGUGCGGGAUGACGGCCUUCUGGUUGUAAACCGCUUUCGCCUGUGACGAAGCGUGAGUGACGGUAAUGGGUAAAGAAGCACCGGCUAACUACGUG
rnacentral:rRNA from 1 species